rnacentral:rRNA from 1 species
UCAGGAUGAACGCUGGCGGCGUGCUUAAUACAUGCAAGUCGAACGAAGCACUUAUGACAGAUCCCCUCGGGGUGAAGACGUUUGUGACUGAGUGGCGGACGGGUGAGUAACGCGUGGGUAACCUGCCUUAUGCAGGGGGACAACAGUUGGAAACGACUGCUAAUACCGCAUAAGCGCACGGCACCGCAUGGUGCAGUGUAGAAAAGAUUUAUCGGCAUAAGAUGGACCCGCGUCUGAUUAGGUAGUUGGUGAGGUAACGGCCCACCAAGCCGACGAUCAGUAGCCGACUUGAGAGAGUGAUCGGCCACAUUGGGACUGAGACACGGCCCAGACUCCUACGGGAGGCAGCAGUAGGGAAUAUUGCACAAUGGGGGAAACCCUGAUGCAGCGACGCCGCGUGAGUGAUGAAGUAUUUCGGUACGUAAAGCUCUAUCAGCAGGGAAGAUAAUGACGGUACCUGACUAAGAAGCCCCGGCUAACUACGUGCCAGCCGCCGC